rnacentral:rRNA from 1 species
CCGGGGGGAUCCCACUAGCCCGAAGAAUUCGGAUUAAUACCGCAUAAUCUAUUCGUAGUAAAGGGGGGGACUUUCGAGCCUCACGCUAUCAGAUGAGCCUGCGUAAGAUUAGCUAGUUGGUAGGGUAAAAGCCUACCAAGGCGACGAUCUUUAGCUGGUCUGAGAGGAUGAUCAGCCACAUCGGGACUGAGACACGGCCCGAACUCCUACGGGAGGCAGCAGUGGGGAAUAUUGGACAAUGGGGGCAACCCUGAUCCAGCAAUACCGCGUGUGUGAAGAAGGCCUGAGGGUUGUAAAGCACUUUCAAUUGUGAAGAAAAGCUAGCGGUUAAUAGCCGUUAGCCUUGACGUUAACUUUAGAAGAAGCACCGGCUAACUCCGUGCCAGCAGCCGCGGUAAUACGGAGGGUGCAAGCGUUAAUCGGAAUUACUGGGCGUAAAGCGUGCGUAGGCGGUUUAUUAAGUCAGAUGUGAAAGCCCCGGGCUUAACCUGGGAACUGCAUUUGAAACUGGUCAACUAGAGUAUGGGUAGAGGGAAGUGGAAUUUCUGGUGUAGCGGGUGAAAUGCAUAGAUAUUCAGAAGGAACAUCAAUGGCGAAGGCAACUUUCUGGAACAAUACUGACGCUGAAGAAACAAAAGCGUGGGUAGCAAACAGGAUUAGAUCUCCUGGAAGUCCACGGCCGUAAAGAUGAUACUAGCCGGUGGGGGGGAUUUACUCCUAGUGGAGAGCUAACACGUAACUAUCCUCUGGGGCAUAGGGCGCUAGCUUAGAAUUCGUAUGAUUAGACGGUAUCGGUCUAUCGGAUGAGACGCUGUCUAUCGUAGCAUACUGGAGUACAUCAUCAGUCAUUGAUACGCGCGAUCCUACGUGAAGUGGUCAGUG